GACGUAGGGCGCGAGCGUUGUCCGGAUUUAUUGGGCGUAAAGAGCGUGUAGGCGGCCGCACAGGUCCGUUGUGAAACGCGGUGAGGCUUAACCUUCAGACGUCGAUGGAAACCGUGCGGCUAGAGUCCGGAAGAGGACGAAUGGAAUCCUGGUGUAGCGGUGAAAUGCGCAGAUAUCAGGAAGAACACCCGUGGCUAAGGCGGUUCUCUAGUACGGUACUGAGCUGAGACGCGAAAAGCGUGGGGAGC
rnacentral:rRNA from 1 species